GUACCGGCAUGUUGGAUCCCUGCUCUGGCAGCGACGGCAUCUCGUCCGUGUCUCUUCAGUUGUUGGCUCGAGCACGUGCUCGUCCGGCAUCGGUUUUCCUGUGCUGAAUACCUACCGCGAGGGCAUUCUGUCGUCUAAUAUCGUCCCUUUCCCGCCCCUUGCUGCCGCCCCUCGUGGGCGAGCGGUGCGGGGUGGGCCAAGCAGCGCACGUCGUGUCUCGCACCCCUCUCGUCUGUUCCUACGGGCGUCCGGGCUGACGAACCACGACGGAUCGCUCGAUCUCUCGGGUACAGAACAUCACGUGGGUACGGGGCCUUCGGCUCCCGAGCACCACAAACAAGCGUUCUACGCUUCGUGCGAACGACCGUCGGACUGUUCUCCCGCCCUGUCCUCGUGGCUCGGUUGGGAGUCGGUCCGGCGUCGGUGAGGAAUGCUACCU
rnacentral:misc_RNA from 1 species